rnacentral:rRNA from 1 species
CCUACGGGGGGCUGCAGUAAGGAAUAUUGGACAAUGGAGGCAACUCUGAUCCAGCCAUGCCGCGUGAAGGAUUAAGGCCCUAUGGGUUGUAAACUUCUUUUAGACGGGACAAAACCCCUUUACGUGUAAAGGGUUGAUGGUACUGUCAGAAUAAGCAUCGGCUAACUUCGUGCCAGCAGCCGCGGUAAUACGAAGGAUGCAAGCGUUAUCCGGAAUUAUUGGGUUUAAAGGGUGCGUAGGCGGACUAAUAAGUCAGUGGUGAAAGCCUGCAGCUUAACUGCAGAAUUGCCGUUGAUACUGUUAGUCUUGAGUACAGUUGAGGUAGGCGGAAUGUGUCAUGUAGCGGUGAAAUGCUUAGAUAUGACACAGAACACCGAUUGCGAAGGCAGCUUGCUAAGCUGUAACUGACGCUGAGGCACGAAAGCGUGGGGAGCAAACAGGAUUAGUACCCAGUAGUCG